rnacentral:rRNA from 1 species
AUACGUAGGGAGCGAGCGUUGUCCGGAAUUACUGGGUGUAAAGGGAGUGUAGGCGGGAAAACAAGUCAGAUGUGAAAACUAUGGGCUCAACCUGUAGACUGCAUUUGAAACUAUUUUCUUGAGUGAAGUAGAGGUAAGCGGAAUUCCUAGUGUAGCGGUGAAAUGCGUAGAUAUUAGGAGGAACACCAGUGGCGAAGGCGACUUUCUGGACCAUAACUGACGCUGAGGCUCGAAAGCGUGGGGAGC